rnacentral:rRNA from 1 species
CCUACGGUGUGCAGCAGUGAGGAAUCUUGGUCAAUGGCCGGAAGGCUGAACCAGCAAAGCCGCGUGAAGGAAGAAGGUGCCAAGCAUUGUAAACUUCUUUUGUCAAGGGACAAAAUCAGGCUAGAGAGCCUGACCGCGGGUACUUGAAGAAACAGCAUCGGCUAACUCCGUUACAGCCGCAGCGGUAAUGGGCAGGAUGCGAGCGUUAUCGGGAUUUAUUGGGUUUAAAGGGUGCGUGGUGGGACUGUUAAGUCAGCGGUAAAAGCCCCGGGCUCACCCCAGGCGGGCCGUUGAAACUGGAUGGCUUGAGAGGUCGAGAGGGAAGGGGAAUGCGCAGUGUAGCGGUGAAAUGCUUAGAUAUUGCGCAGAACUCCGAUUGCGAAGGCAGCAUACCGGCGGCGAUCUGACGCUGAGGCACGAAAGCGUGGGUAUCGAACAGGAUUAGAUACCCCUGUAGUC